UACGUAGGGGGCAAGCGUUGUCCGGAAUUAUUGGGCGUAAAGAGCGUGUAGGCGGUCCGGUAAGUCAGCUGUGAAAGUCAAGGGCUCAACCCUUGAAUGCCGGUUGAUACUGUCGGGCUAGAGUCCGGAAGAGGCGAGUGGAAUUCCCGGUGUAGCGGUGAAAUGCGCAGAUAUCGGGAGGAACACCAAUGGCGAAGGCAGCUCGCUGGGACGGUACUGACGCUGAGACGCGAAGGCCAGGGGAGCAAACGGG
rnacentral:rRNA from 1 species